rnacentral:tRNA from 1 species
GGAGGGUUGGCCGAGCGGUUCAUGGCGCUGGUUUUGAAAACCAGUGGGAGAAAUCCCUCGGGGGUUCGAAUCCCUCACCCUCCG